AAAAAAGUAGUCUCAGUUCGGAUUGAAGGCUGAAAUUCGCCUUCAUGAAGCCGGAAUUGCUAGUAAUGGCAGGUCAGCAUACUGCCGUGAAUACGUUCCCGGGCCUUGUACACACCGCCCGUCACACCAUGAGAGUUGGGGAUACCCGAAGCCUGUGAGCUAACUUUUAGAGGCAGCAGUCGAAGGUAGAAUCAAUGAUUGGGGUGAAGUCGUAACAAGGUAAC
rnacentral:rRNA from 1 species